rnacentral:rRNA from 1 species
UACAGAGGGUGCGAGCGUUAAUCGGAAUUACUGGGCGUAAAGCGCGCGUAGGUGGCGACGUAAGUCGGGUGUGAAAGCCCCGGGCUCAACCGCGGAAGUGCACCCGAGACUGCAUAGCUGGAGUACCGGAGAGGGGGGCGGAAUUCCCCGAGUAGAGGUGAAAUUCGUAGAUAUGGGGAGGAACACCGGUGGCGAAGGCGGCCACCUGGACGGGAACUGACGCUCAGGCGCGAAAGCGUGGGGAGCAAACAGG